GACCUCUCAGGAUCACACCUGGAGAGUUUCCAGUCCUCUACCAGUCUUGGCUAUGAGAAGGAGAGUCAAGCAGAGGCCUACCCAUUCCAUUCCUAGCUUAGCCAGUGGUUAGCGAGUGGAAAGCAACCUGCUACAAGU
rnacentral:snoRNA from 1 species